GGCCAGGAGAUCGGCGGCUACGCACAUGGUUCUUGCCUUUUACCAGAACCAUCCGGCCGUCGUCUCUGUUCAAAGGUUGUCUACAAUUUUUGGGACACAAAGAGACAAUUUGACA
rnacentral:snRNA from 1 species